AGGAUGUUGAAUAAAUUUGCCA
rnacentral:siRNA from 1 species